rnacentral:rRNA from 1 species
AGCAGCCGCGGUAAUUCCAGCUCCAAUAGCGUAUAUUAAAGUUGUUGCAGUUAAAAAGCUCGUAGUUGAAUUUCGGGGUCAGUAGUCUGGUCGGGCCACCGGUACGUACUGGACUCACUGAUUCCUCCUUCCUGAUGAGCUGUAAUGCCAUUAAUUUGGUGUUGCAGGGAAUCUGGACUGUUACUUUGAAAAAAUUAGAGUGUUUAAAGCAGGCUAACGCUUGAAUACAUUAGCAUGGAAUAAUGAAAUAGGACGUUCGAUCCUAUUUUGUUGGUUUCUAGGAUUGACGUAAUGAUUAAUAGGGAUAGUUGGGGGCAUUAGUAUUCAAUUGUCAGAGGUGAAAUUCUUGGAUUUAUUGAAGACUAACUACUGCGAAAGCAUUUGCCAAGGAUGUUUUCAUUAAUCAAGAACGAAAGUUAGGGGAUCGAAGACGAUCAGAUACCGUCGUAGUCUUAACCAUAAACUAUGCCGACUAGGGAUCGGA